rnacentral:tRNA from 1 species
GAAUUGAAAGCUAAAAUUGUAAGCAGCGACCUUGUAAGUCGAAGAUAGGGAACACCCUCAAUUCU